rnacentral:tmRNA from 1 species
GGGGUCGUUUUUGGCUUCGACAGAAGAAAAAAUUUAUUAUGUGCAAGUGGUUUCUGACCUAAUCAGAAAAACAGUUAAAAUAACUGACAAAUUUAAUUUUAAUACUGAACUAGCUUUUGCCUAAUUAAUUGGCACUGUUCACUGAUUAUAGACUAAUCUCACAGAGUUUAUAAUUGGUUCAUAAUAGUGAGAUAUAUUUGAAUUAUCGCUUAGUAAUUUGAAUGAAUUUAUUAUAAGCUUAAUUAAUGAUUCUUUAGAUAAUUUGAGGGUCAUUAACGAAAUAGUAAAUUAUCUAAACUUGUAGAGCAUACUAAAUUGUUCUUUUGGACGCGAGUUCGAUUCUCGCCGACUCCACCA